rnacentral:rRNA from 1 species
GAUGAACGCUGGCGGCGUGCCUAAUACAUGCAAGUCGAGCGAAUGGAUUAAGAGCUUGCUCUUAUGAAGUUAGCGGCGGACGGGUGAGUAACACGUGGGUAACCUGCCCAUAAGACUGGGAUAACUCCGGGAAACCGGGGGUAAUACCGGAUAACAUUUUGAACCGCAUGGUUCGAAAUUGAAAGGCGGCUUCGGCUGUCACUUAUGGAUGGACCCGCGUCGCAUUAGCUAGUUGGUGAGGUAACGGCUCACCAAGGCAACGAUGCGUAGCCGACCUGAGAGGGGGAUCGGCCACCCUGGGACUGAGACACGGCCCAGACUCCUACGGGAGGCAGCAGUAGGGAAUCUUCCGCAAUGGACGAAAGUCUGACGGAGCAACGCCGCGUGAGUGAUGAAGGCUUUCGGGUCGUAAAACUCUGUUGUUAGGGAAGAACAAGUGCUAGUUGAAUAAGCUGGCACCUUGACGGUACCUAACCAGAAAGCCACGGCUAACUACGUGCCAGCCGCCGCCGUAA